rnacentral:rRNA from 13 species
UAGCGGGUGAUAGCCCCGUAUCCGAAAGGGACCUUGCAGUGAAAUCGAGUAGGUCGGGACACGUGUUAUCUUGACUGAAUGUGGGGGGACCAUCCUCCAAGGCUAAGUACUCUCAGCUGACCGAUAGUGAACCAGUACCGUGAGGGAAAGGCGAAAAGAACCCCGGAGAGGGGAGUGAAAUAGAACCUGAAACCAGGUGCGUACAAGCAGUCGGAGCCUUCUUAGGAGGGUGACGGCGUACCUUUUGUAUAAUGGGUCAGCGAGUUAGUCUGUCGAGCAAGCUUAA